rfam:Buceros rhinoceros silvestris contig140872, whole genome shotgun sequence.
CACAAGGUGUCAUUAGACACCAUAGAUACGCACAAAAUGAAUUAUU